GUAUAGAACCUACCUUUUACAGGGGAAUAGCCCAGAGAAAUUUGGAUUAAUGCCCCAUGGUAUUAUUGAAUGGCAUCAUUUAAUAAUUAAACAUUUAUGGGUAAAAGAUGGCUAUGCGUUCUAUUAGCUAGAUGGUAAGGUAACGGCUUACCAUGGCAACGAUAGAUAGGGGUCCUGAGAGGGAGACCCCCCACACUGGUACUGAGACACGGACCAGACUCCUACGGGAGGCAGCAGUGAGGAAUAUUGGACAAUGGAGGCAACUCUGAUCCAGCCAUGCCGCGUGCAGGAAGACGGCCCUAUGGGUUGUAAACUGCUUUUAUAUAGGAAGAAACCUUUCCACGUGUGGAAAGCUGACGGUACUAUAAGAAUAAGCACCGGCUAACUCCGUGCCAGCAGCCGCGGUAAUACGGAGGGUGCAAGCGUUAUCCGGAAUCAUUGGGUUUAAAGGGUCCGUAGGCGGACUAAUAAGUCAGGGGUGAAAUCCAACAGCUUAACUGUUGAACUGCCCUUGAUACUGUUAGUCUUGAAAUAUAUGGAAGUAGAUAGAAUGUGUAGUGUAGCGGUGAAAUGCUUAGAGAUUUACACAU
rnacentral:rRNA from 1 species